GCGAGAACUAGUUCUGAGGCCUGGGCGGGAUCUUCCGACUGGUUUGCAGAGGGCCUCAGGGCUUUGUGAGGGUUUGGGUUCGGCUGGAUCUACCUGGAGUGGAGCGAAGCUCUGCCCUGCUUGGAUGGAGGCCUCCAGAGAGGAAUCAGGAACGGCUGUUGAACAUCCACAAGGCACCUGAAAGGCUUUUGUGGUGUUCAGGGACGUGGCUGUGGACUUCACCCAAGAGGAGAGUGGAGGUUGUUAAGCCCUGCUCAGAGGAUCCUACUCCAGGGAAGUGAUGCUGGAGACCUAUAGCCACCUGGUAUCGUUAGAAAUUCCACUUUCCAAACCAAAACUUGUUACUCACCUGGAGUGAGGGGAAGAGCCCUGGAGAGAGGAGAGAAAAUAUUUGCCAGACCUCUGUCCAGCAGUUGAAGAUGUUCAGGAAUGUAGCUGUGGAUUUCUCUUAGAGGAAGGGAAAUGCAUGGGUCUGAAACAUAGAGAUUUGUACAGACAUGUGAUGUUGAAGAACUAGAGCCACCUCAUCUCACUGGACCACACUCAACAUUAGUUAUUUCACAUUGGUGAGAAAUUCUGUGAAGAUAAGCAUCCUGGGAAGACAUUUCUUACUGAUUCAGAAUUUCAGACAGUUCACACUGGUGAAGAAGCUGAGGCAUAGAGACGUAACUUGCUGAAGCUCAUGCAGCUAGCCACCACAGUGUCAGAGAUGCAGACCCUGUGACCAGAUCAGACAGGAAGACCACAUACGGGAAGGAAUGAGCUGACUGGCCCAAAUUUAGGGGAACCACUACCACAAGAGAGGUGAGAUGCCCACAUAGCCUGAAGCUCAGAGGAAGUGGUUAUAGUCCCUGCAAAGGAUGAAAACACAAGAGCAAAAACACACAGGCACAACUUCCGGCUCUGCUACAGGGCUUUUCUGAUAUUUCUUUGGCAGGAAAGCUUGACCUCCUGGAGAUGAUCCAGGCCCUAUAAGUAGGCAUAAAUCUGAGUUGAAUAUGUAGUACAGGAACUAUGUUUCAGGGACAAUCCCCAGAAGCCAGCCUGACCUUGGACCCUGCUUCCCAUGAGUCUAGAAACUUAGGGUAACAAUGAAUUAGUCUUCUGUAAAUGUCCAUUUCUCUCUGCAUGAGUAGCAACAUAUCAGGUGCUCUGGGAGAUAUGAAUAAAGAAAAAAGAGUGGUCUCUACCCUCAAGGAGUUUAUCAUCUAAUUGGGGGAGCCAAUGCAAAGCAAGAUGAGAAUUAAAGAGUUCCUGGUCCUAGCAGGAAGGACUAGAUUCAUAGUAAAGAAUCUCAGAAGAAAAAAAUGGGUAUGGAUUAGAAGAAUUCAGAAGAGUCUUGAUGGAAGAGGUGAUACCUGAGUUGAGGCCUUUGGUAGGUGUGGGCAAAUACUAAAACAGCCCUAAGUUUCCCCUUCCACCAUCAGCCUGUAUCUUUGAUCUCUGCCCUGUAACUUGGUAUGCACCAGCUCCUUGACACUGUCAUUUUGAUUCUGGACUUAACCAUUUGGCUUGUUGUGGACAUCGAAAUGUUAGGAAACUUGACAAAGCAGGAAUCUGGAAAAAUGCAUGAUGCCACUUUUUUACAUCAGCCAACACCAAGGAAAUAGGCCCAGGCUAGUCUGCUGGAGACUGAGACAAGCAGGACACAGCUAAUUCACCCCAGUUGCCCUAGAGAAGAACUAACCAGACCAACCUAUAAGCAAAUUCAGCCAAGGUGUGUGAUUACUGAGUACUUAUUGCUAUAUGCCAUGAAGGUUUUCUGUUUUUAUGCAACAUUAUUCCAAAAAUACAUAACAUAUAAUGGGCAAAGAGGUUGGAAGAAUGAAAUGCUUGAGCAUUUCCUGUAGAGACUCUUAGAAAAUUACCAUUGCAUGAUAUUAAUAACUCCUACUUCAAAUAAGGUACCCUUGGUUAAACAUAUUGGAGAAAUGCUGAAUAAAUGAAAACAACAGGUUUCUUGAUGGAGACUUCCCAGGGUCUUGACUAUGAAAUGGAUUGUUGUGCAUCAUUCAGAAUGCACAAUUUCCCAAUUUUUGAACAAUCUCAUGGAACAAGGGUGCCCCUGAAUACAUUACAAGGCAUAUCAAUCCCAGAAAGUCAUGUGCCAUUCCAACUUAUAGCAAAUAAUUUGCCAGAGGGCAAGGAUAUUUUCUUUCUUAUCUGGUCCUGUGUCUCAGGACCUAGAGCAGUGUUUGCCACACCAUGGGCACACAACAAAUAUGUGCACAAGGAAGACAAGGAGGAAAGGGGAAAGGGAGAGAAAAUGAAUAUGUUUUUUCUUACCCCUGCUCUUGUAUUUGUGCUAUUGCCUCUGUUCACAAUCAGUGCCUUGGCCUUAUCUACCUGGUGAUUCCCAACUCUCCUUCAAAGUUGUCAUCCCCCUGAAGAUGUUUCUGACCUCUCAAGUCAGGUGCUGCAUUCAGAGUGCUAGGAGCUGCAUUAUUGAGUUCAUCUUUCCCACCAUGUCAAGCACAGUGCCCACCACACUGUACGCAUAUAAUGAGUAACAACUGUUUCUUUCAAACAGAGGAAGAAGAGGAAAGGGCAGGGGAGAAGGAAAGAAGGAUAGAAGGAAGAAGAAAUGGAGAAAAACAGAGAUGGAAGGGGAAGAAGGACAAAAGGGAGAGAAGGAGGUACAAAUUAAUGAAACACACUCAAGGAUCUUUUCAUAACAGCAAAUGGUUUGUGAUAAGAUUGGAGAGUUUUCCUAGGAGCAGGUGGUAGAGAGACAUGACUAUAGGAAAAUUUGUUCACUCUUAAUUCUGCAAGGAGGCAGAGAUUAAUAUUUUAUGCAAUAAAUUGGCAUCAGAUAAGCUCUCCUCUGGAAAUUGUUUUUUGUCAACAGGCAAAACACUACUACACUUAUGUAUACCAAAGCAAACUGAAUAAAAUUUAUCAUUUACUUAAUAGAGGAAAUAGUAUGUAGCAAAAGAGAAAACAUUUUACUCAAGUCCCUCAACCGCCUUAAACCAACACAAAGACUUCUGUUGAAGGGGGAUGUUGUACUCAUCUGGGACCUGGUGACCAGAAGUGGUCACCUAUGAGACUGAGCCAUGUGUUUACAUGUUAAAUAUUAAAUCAAAUCUGCUUUAUGUUGAUAAAUAAAAGCAUGGGUCCCAAGAAGUGUAAUCUACAACUAGAGUAGAAUUGAAUAUGUUCUUCUGAAAGCCAAGGAUUAAUGUUCAAUAAUGAUUUGGUUAUCACUAGCCCUUAUGCAUGGAAUAUAAAGAGCUUGUCAAAUGCAUGAGUUACAUUUUCAAGCAGAUGCUGACAGUUUUCUUAAAGCUCUCUUGUCUGGCAAAAUGGAAGAAAUGGCUUGUGGCUUUCAGAAAGCUGCCCAGCAUCAUAGAUAUUCUAAAUGUUCUACAUUAAGUAAGAGAAAAUCAACACAUUAAAAGUCUGCCUGUUUUGUACACUUGUAGUCCUAACUAAUUCAAAGCUGGCUGGGAGCACUAAGCAAGCUAAAUCUGAUUUGUAUUGACAUUUAAUAAGAGGCAAAAAAUUCAGUCCUGCCCAUAUCUAAACAUGCCCAAAGAGUAAUGAAAGUGAGACAAUUAUCCAGAAGCUUCCAGAAAUAGAAGAAACGUACUCUGUGUUUGUGUGCGCGCAUGCUUGUGUGCACUGGGAUGUGGCAGGAGAAGUAGAAUAGCUGAGAAGAGAAUUUAGUAUGUGGCUAUUCCAGAGUGUCUGUUGCAGCCAAUAAAUGGAAGGAAGUAAGUGUGACAUCUAGGCACAUCCAGGAAGGGAUGAAGUAAUGGAUGAGCAUUCACCAAAAUAAUCUGUAUAGUUCCUUACAGUUCAUGGCUGGAAAUUUGGGGACACCCACGUCCCACCGAAAAGAUUUUGGAAAUGGCCUCAAAGAGAUAUCCUUGGAAUAUGACUGGAAUUUUAAAAAAUGCUGAUUGAAUUAUACUGUUUUUAAAAGAGAUAUUAAUAGCAGAAAAAUGCUCAUAGUGGGGGUUCUAUAAAGAAGACUCAGAAAGCAAGGAUCAUCAGUGUCUCUAUAACCAACCAGGAGUGAAGGGGCUCUGCACAGCCCAAAUGAGCCUUCCACCCCUGAAGUAGCCUGUAAAAUGCCCUCCCAGAAAUAUGCACACCCUAAUCCCUGAACCCUGCAGAUGUUACCUAUUUUGACAAAAGUGACUUUGCAGAUGUGCUUAAAUUAAGGAUCUUGAGAUGAGAUUAUCCUGUAUUAUCCAAGUGGGCCUAAGUUCCAUCACAUGUAUCCUUAUAAGAAAGAGGGAGAAGGAGAGCUGACAUACAGAGAAGGCUAUGAGAAGACAGAAGCAGAGAUUCGAGCACCACAAGCUAAGGAGUGCAUGGCAGAACUAGAAUCUGGAGGAGGGAAGAAAUAAGACAGUCCCCUGGAGCCUCCAAAAGAGUGCAGCCCAGCUAACACCUUGAUUUUGACCUAGCAAUACUGAUUUGGUACUUAUGGUCCCCAGGUGUGUAAGGGAAUACAUUUCUCUUCUUUUAAACCAGCCUGGGAAAUUGUUACUGUAGGCACUGGGAACUAACGCAACCUCCAUGUCAAGGUGAGUGCUGCAGGAAACUUGAGCUUGAGGACACACACCAUUACACUCAGGCAAUUGACCCUCUUCCUGCCCCUUGGCCCUUCAUGCCCUGCUGUUGUAGCUCAGAUUCCUUGUUAUCCAAUUAGGAUUCUGGAUAAAAAUCUGGCUGCUUUUCUAGAUUUGCCAAAAAGAGAGACUGCACCAAUAAGGAGACACAAACUUUUUAGUCUGCUCAGAACUUAGGUUUUCCAUUGGGAAUUCACUUAGGAUGUAUGCAUCUGAUACAAUGACUAGUGGAAGCCUCAAACUUGGGGAGUCUCAAUUGCACUAACAGAAUAAAUAUUCUAAGUCCACAAUGUUGAAAUAUCAACAUGCAGAUUCAUAAAGAUCUCAGUAGCCUACGGAAGUUCAGUUUGGGCUGCCAGUCAAUCUUCCUUGAUAAUACCUCUACCUCCUCUAUAAAAAUAUAGCAGGUUUUACAUUGGUUGAACUCAUUUCAGGUAACUUGUUGGUGCAUCUUUUGCCCCAAAACAUAUAAAAAAUAUUUUGAAAACAGAUCCUUUGUAUAUUUGUCAAGACUCAUUUAGUUGGGUCUCAAAUUAACCUAGACAUACAAACCAAAAAGGAACAUAUUUCUUUCCAUAACUUGAAGGUUCAAAGAAAAAAGCUCCAGCUUCAGGCAUAGCCAUAUCUGGGGAGUCCAAUAAUGAGAAAUUGGUCCCCUUUCUAUCCAUCUGUUAAUUCUGUCUUCCUUUUGUUGACUUUUAGACUCUGGUAAUCUUUCUUCUCUGGAUAGUGAAAGUAUCCACUAGACGUUUAGAUGUUUAUUUACCCCUAUAUCUAUCAAUCACAGAAACAGAUAUUUGUCCCAGCAAAAAUUUGUGGAGGAGUUCCAAUUGAUCCAUUUAGGAUUAUAGUUUCAUAUUUAACCAAUCACUGUUGCCAGGAAGUUUCAACCCUGUGGCAAGGAGGAGGGGUCAACUCCUCUCCAUCUGGAAUGAAUUUUUCCAUAAUCAAAAUAAAUUGUGCUGUAAGAAGGCAGCUGAGGAGAAAGGGAUAUCAGGUGGACUAUAACUCCAACUACCUCAGUUCACUCACUUUCAUUUGUGGAUUUCAUAUUCUCAGUUCCAACUAUUCCUGAGUCACCCUAAGCACUCAUGACACUCAGAAUUCAUAAUUGUUCUAAGCCACAAUAUCACAUUGCCCAUGGUAGAAAGCCAAAGAGCCAUGAAAAGUGCUUAGCAAAUGAAUGAGCCUAGCUGACCACCUGUCAACCACAUCUCAGAGCAACUUUGUUUUUUCCUGCAUCUACACAGAAAGUUUUCAGUAAGAGGAAAACUUUACUCCCUAGUUCAAACUUCCCUUGGAUGACAGCAUCUGUUGAUAUUGGUGCUGAAAGUGAAAAAGUGGCAAGGCCUUUUACAAAUAGACUACAAAUAAACUACAUUUAAAAAUCAUCACUCAGUCUAAAAUGAGUCAGUUUAAAUGUCAUAAUGUAUUUAAUAAGGGCCUAGAAUGCACCCCUCAUGGAUGAAUGUAUUCUAUAUAAAUAAUAUCUACUCAACAGUAAUGAUCUCUUCUGUUUAAGCUAUCUAUUCUUGCAAAAGAAAAUAUCCCCAAACUUAGUGUCUUAAAUUAACGAAUAUUUUAUUUACUCUCAAUUCCACAAUCUAGCCUGGAUUCUACUACACAGAUCUUCUGCUGGUCUUACCAGCAAUCACUCAUGUGCCUGCAGUUAGCUGGCAGGUUGAUUGGGAAAUAGGCUCAGCUGAGACAUUAGGAAGCUUGGGCUCUCUCUCUCCCUCUCUCUCUCUCUCUCUCUCUCUCUCUCUCAUUCUCUCUACAGUAUCUCUAUCUCUUAUCUCUAUCUCUAUCUCU